rnacentral:rRNA from 1 species
CUAUUGAACGGUCUGCUGACGAACAGGCUGAUGGGGGUGCGAGCGCCGCUCUGUAAGUGGGCCACGGCCACCAUCUGCCGGUCGACCGGUUUGCCGUCUGGUUUAGACGCUGGUUCCAGGGGUUCCUGGGGCAUGGCUCUUGCUCGGCAUCUUUUUCGGUGCAGUUUGUCGUGGUAAGAUGCUGGGCAGGGCCUUCUCUGUUCCUGGUAAUCUGGAUGGUGGUUGGUGAGCCGGCCAGUGACCGAGUAGUCGGUCUCAACUGCUGGACACCUAUACGUACUGCUCAUCCGGCGACACCCGGUCAGAGGGAUCACGAUACCUGUGAUCAUCUUUUCUGCACGUGCACCUUCCCUUCAGAGGCAUAGUGGCCCCAGGGUAAUCCCGGGCCGGUGACCUUAGCUAUAGCAACCUGUGUCCUACAGGCGGCAACAUCCAAGGUGCUGAGGUUAAUCCACGGCACGCUCCUCUGAAGGUACACAUUUUCCAUAUAAGGCUGCACAACACUGCACCCUCACUCCACUCACUGACUUGCAUGAACUCAGGUCAUUAGGACCCUUACAUCCACGUAGGCCUAGGUUAGCUGACCUGUCAAGCCCGGACGGCCGGUAGGUGGACAGAUUGGGAUCUCGUAAUGAUUAGAACUUGGGAGAAGGUUGAAUGGCUAAAGCGAGCUUGCGAGCUUAAGCCCUGCGAACAACACGCCUCCGUUCCCCAUCAUGCAAGUCACAUUGGAUGCGAAUCUUGUCACCGCCAGUCUCGUACUGGUACGCUGGACGGGCCAGCCUAAGACCCGGAACGAAAGUCACUGCUCCCCCGCGGUUCGAGCCUGGCGGCAUCAAUCACUUCAGAUCCUCCUGAGGCACGACAAACCCGGGGUCCCUACGGGACCGUAUCGCGCCUAAGCAAACGGUUCAGCCGGGGCCCGUGAGGGAGGCAUUUGCUCGUGAUUUCUGCCCAGUGCUCUGAAUGUCAAAGUGAAGAAAUUCAAUGAAGCGCGGGUAAACGGCGGGAGUAACUAUGACUCUCUUAAGGUAGCCAAAUGCCUCGUCAUCUAAUUAGUGACGCGCAUGAAUGGAUGAACGAGAUUCCCACUGUCCCUACCUACUAUCUAGCGAAACCACAGCCAAGGGAACGGGCUUGGCAGAAUCAGCGGGGAAAGAAGACCCUGUUGAGCUUGACUCUAGUCCGACUUUGUGAGGAGACAUGACGGAUGUAGAAUAGGUGGGAGCUAGGUGCUUCUGUGCCUAGCGUCGGUGAAAUACCACUGCUGUCAUCGUCUCUUUACUUAUUCAGUGAAACGGGAACAAAAUGAUAUUUUGGAAUGAAGCACAUACCGGGAUGCGUGGUUUAUGCUGCGUGUGUCGGUGUCAUGGUCAUGUCAGGUUAGUCGUGAUUUUCGGAUGCGGUGUUUGAGUCUGGAUGUGAUGUGCGACCCGUUCUGAAGACCAUGUCAGGCGGGGAGUUUGACUGGGGCGGUACAUCCGUCAAAUGGUAACGCGGGUGUCCUAAGGUGAGCUCAGCCAGGACGGAAACCUGGCGUGGAGUAAAAGGGCAAAAGCUUACUUGAUUUUGAUUUUCAGUACGAAUACAGACCGUGAAAGCGUGGCCUAUCGAUCCUUUUGAUUAUGAUAUUCGGAGUUUGAAGCAAGAGGUGUCAGAAAAGUUACCACAG